UGGUUUCAAUUUUUGUAUUUUGUUUAGCUGUGGACAAGGACUUACAUCUGGAGGCAACAAAUGAAUCCUUCUUUUGCAACCCAGAACUCACUGUUCAGUAUGAAUUUUGUAUAUUUAGGAAGGAACAUA